GCGGAUAUGGUGGCUACAAUACUCAUCCAGCACAUCAUCCCAAGGUUCGGAUUGCCCCAGACCCUCCAGUCAGACAACGGACCCGCCUUCAUCUCCAGUGUAACCCAACAGGUAUAGUUACCUCCAGGAUCAAAGAACUCAGGGAUCGGAUCCAAGCACGGCGGCGAGACACGUCCUCCUGGGGCCUGGACCCCUACACCUGGGUAACCUGGCUACUCCCUCUGGCGGGACCUGUAUGCAUAAUCCUCCUUCUAGUCUCAGUUGCUCCCUGUCUUUUCCGAUACUUGCAGGGUCGCCUACAAGAACUUGCCCAAGUGUCCGUCAAUCAACUCCUCCUCCAGCCCUACUCUCGCCUGCCCACUUCCGACUACCCCUAUGACAACACCCCCCGUCAGCAGGAAGUAGCCAGAACUGAGUCAACGCCCCUGGCACCAUUAUAUUAAGCAAAAGGUCGGAAUGUUGGGCUGGCAGAAAGGGCUACUUAAGAUGGCGAAA